rnacentral:rRNA from 1 species
GUGUCAGCCGCCGCGGUAAUACGUAGGGACCAAGCGUUGUUCGGAUUUACUGGGCGUAAAGGGCGCGUAGGCGGCAUUGUUAGUCACUUGUGAAAUCUCCGGGCUUAACUCGGAACGGCCAAGUGAUACUGCAGUGCUAGAGUGCGGAAGGGGCAAUCGGAAUUCUUGGUGUAGCGGUGAAAUGCGUAGAUAUCAAGAGGAACACCAGAGGUGAAGACGGGUUGCUGGGCCGACACUGACGCUGAGGCGCGAAAGCCAGGGGAGCAAACGGGAUUAGAUACCCUCGUAGUCC